AUAGUUUGUAUAAUAAAUACUUGGACACAUGAAUCUGUAUUUGAAAUUUGAAACCAUCCUAAUAACAUAGCCAAAAAAAAAAAAAAAAGCUCCAGCGUCCUCUCCUCACCCUUUCCUUGGCUUUGAGCAGGGAGAAGAGCCUGCUAAGUGCAGUGAGGCCGGUCUCCUGCAGGAGGGAGUACAGCCAGAGGAGUUCGUGGCCAUCGCGGACUAUGCUGCCACCGAUGAGACCCAGCUCAGUUUUUUGAGAGGAGAAAAAAUUCUUAUCCUGAGACAAACCACUGCAGAUUGGUGGUGGGGUGAGCGUGCGGGCUGCUGUGGGUACAUUCCAGCAAACCAUAUGGGGAAGCACGUGGAUGAGUACGACCCCGAGGACACGUGGCAGGAUGAAGAGUACUUCGGCAGCUAUGGAACUCUGAAACUCCACUUGGAAAUGUUGGCAGACCAGCCACGAACAACUAAAUACCACAGUGUCAUCCUGCAGAAUAAAGAAUCCCUGACGGAUAAAGUCAUCCUGGACGUGGGCUGUGGGACUGGGAUCAUCAGUCUCUUCUGUGCACACUAUGCGCGGCCUAAAGCGGUGUACGCGGUGGAGGCCAGUGAGAUGGCACAGCACACGGGGCAGCUGGUCCUGCAGAAUGGCUUUGCCGACAUCAUCACCGUGUUCCAGCAGAAGGUGGAGGAUGUGGUGCUGCCUGAGAAGGUGGACGUGCUGGUGUCUGAGUGGAUGGGGACCUGCCUGCUGUUUGAGUUCAUGAUCGAGUCCAUCCUGUAUGCCCGGGAUGCCUGGCUGAAGGAGGAUGGGGUCAUUUGGCCCACCAUGGCUGCGUUGCACCUUGUGCCCUGCAGUGCUGAUAAGGAUUAUCGUAGCAAGGUGCUCUUCUGGGACAACGCGUACGAGUUCAACCUCAGCGCUCUGAAAUCUUUAGCAAUUAAGGAGUUUUUUUCAAAGCCCAAGUAUAACCACAUUUUGAAACCAGAAGACUGUCUCUCUGAACCGUGCACUAUAUUGCAGUUGGACAUGAGAACCGUGCAAAUUUCUGAUCUAGAGGUGAGAAAAAGAUGAGUUGCUCCUUAUAUUCGAUAAUCAGUGACCACGAAACACUCAGACCAGAGCCUGGCUUAUCAUAAACCUUCAGUGAGUGCUGGGGGUGUGAGUGAAUAACUAAUUAUUUUAUUAUACAAAUAAGUGAAUUUAUAAAACGUUUGCUACUGAUUUUUUCCGGUCUUUUUUUUUUACGUUCUAUUUUGAUUCUUUCAUAUUGUGCAUCAUUUUCUUUAUAAAUGUCUCCAGCGUCUUCAUUUUAGAUUUAUGUUUAAUAUUCUCAGCAUCUUCAAAAUCAAAUAAAUUAUAUUCCGUUUCA
rnacentral:sRNA from 1 species